UACGUAGGGUGCGAGCGUUGUCCGGAAUUACUGGGCGUAAAGAGCUCGUAGGUGGUUUGUCGCGUUGUUCGUGAAAACUCACAGCUCAACUGUGGGCGUGCGGGCGAUACGGGCAGACUGGAGUACUGCAGGGGAGACUGGAAUUCCUGGUGUAGCGGUGGAAUGCGCAGAUAUCAGGAGGAACACCUGCGGCGAAGGCGGGUUGCUGGGCUGACACUGACGCUGAAGCGCGAAAGCUAGGGGAGCGAACGGG
rnacentral:rRNA from 1 species